AUCUACGGCCAUACCAAGCAAAAAGCACUGCAUCCCGUCCGAUCUGCAAAGUUAAGCUGCUUAGGGCCUCGUCAGUACUACGGUGGGGGACCACGUGGGAAUCCGAGGUGCCGUAGGUU
rnacentral:rRNA from 1 species